AUGUUUAAAUAUAUGCAAGGGGAACUGACACAAAAGAAGAUGGGUAUUCCUAAGAAGACUACGUUAUGAGAAGACUACUGUUUUUCAAACCAUUUGAAUAUUUGACGGAUUUGAGAGAUUUCUACUAUACUUCUUAUCCAUAAAUAAGGGCAUUAUUAGUAUACAAAUUAAUCAAGAAGACUAGUGUAAGAGGUAUUUGGUUGUAUAUCACCGUCAACAUAUGUCGCCUAAUGAGAGAUAGAUAGGACCCUCUUUGGUUGUUGGUUAAUAGGCAACUUUAGGUGACACUGAUUGACAAUUUAAACAAGUAUUUCUCAUUUGCAGCUGAGGAGUUACAUAAUAGAGAGAUAGCAUGGGUUGAGCGAAUACUAUAUUGGGGAAGAUGCAGCUGAGGAGUUACAUACUAUUUUUCAAAUUGAUGUAGAUGGUAUGUUACGUAUCUCAUGUCACAUUAGCCAUAUGUUCUUUGCUUGUAGCUUUGCACUGAAGUUCCUGUGCUGGAGUUCAACAUAAUAUUAGUUUCUAAUGACCCAUAUUGUGCUUGGAUUGAAGGUUCUUUGUAUAAAUGGAAUACUUGUGUACUAUUUUCUCAUAUAUAGGUAUCGUGUUGUAUCCAUUUGCCUUUUCGGCUGUAU
rnacentral:lncRNA from 1 species